GUUGUGUAGCUCCUGUACAUAGCGAUCUAUCCUGCUGCUGUAGAGGUUGUGUAGCUCCUGUACAUAGCGAUCUAUCCUGCUGCUGUAGAGGUUGUGUAGCUACUGUACAUAGCGAUCUAUCCUGCUGCUGUAGAGGUUGUGUUAGGCCUUUACAUAGCUGGCUCUCCUGCUGCUGUAGCGGUUGUGUAGCUCCUGUACAUAGUGAUCUAUCCUGCUGCUGUUGAGGUUGUGUUAGGCCUUUACAUAGCUGGCUCUCCUGCUGCUGUAGCAUGUGUAAAUCUUGUACAUAGCUGCCAAUCUUGCUUCAGUAGAUUCUGUGUCACACCUUAACCUAGCUGACUGCGCAAAUCACGUGGAGUGGGUCUUAGUUCUUCAUUUAGCUAUGCUGCUGUAAAGUCUGUACAUCUCCUAAAUAUUGUUGGCUAACCUGCUGCUGUAGAGUCUGUGCUACUCCUAUACAGAGCUGACUAUUCUGAUGCUUUAAAAUCUGAGUAACUCCUUCACCUUGUUGGCUGUCCUAUUACUGUUGCCGUAGAGUCUGUUACUCCUUCACCUAGCAGACUGUGCUGCUGCUUUUGACACAGAUCUGACAGCUUGCUAGUCCUGGUUGUGUACAAUAAUAGUAGGUAUUGGAAGAAAAUGUGGACAAAUUUUGGCGCUGGAACUCUGGAUAUUAAGAAAAUCAGGAACACAUCCGCAUUCCUUUCAGAGGCUUUAUUGUGAAUACAUAAGCUACACGUUUCUGGUCCGAACCGGACCCUUGGUUGUGUACAAGGCAGUUGUGAGAGUGUGAAGUGUCCAAGUCUUCAGGGAGGGCAGAUCACAUGGGGUAGAUGAGGAGAGCUCAGGCUGUAUGAGUGUACAGCAGGAGGAGAGAACGCACAGACUCUUUAUCAUCAAUGAAGCCAAAACUUAGUGCAACUUUUUUACCUCAUUGUAACCACUAACCUGUAAAAAUCCCAUUUCCGUGUCCAAAGCCUUUAAGAUCUCUGCUUGCUGUCUGUGAAUAGGAACUCGUGCUGACCUUGUUCUGCUCACACUGGAAAGGUCUGACACAUCAGCACAAGUCUUUCUGCUGGCGUUACAAUGUAUCAGUGCAGGGAAAACUGACAGGGGACUGUAUACAAUUGUAACAAACCCUCAGCUGUGAGCAGGAUUAGAUCAAACAAGGUUUUCAAUGGGAACAAACAUUUCCCAUUAUCUUAAGAACUUAAAAAUAGUGAAAAACUGAAACACAAAGUAGCAGAACUUCUGCCGUACGGUGACUGCGCCGGCCCUUAAAAUAGAUGACUACAAUACAAAGAGCCACCUCCUCCUUUUAGGGGAGGGGCUGGCGCUAUGGGCGUGGCUGUCACCUGCCAAUCAUUGCACUAGAUACAUUUGAAUCUGUUUUAGUUGUUUUCUCUGGUAGUGGAGCUGGAAUAGUCCGGUGAUAUUAGCGCUCAGCUCUGCUGCAUGUAGCGGCGCAGUGUCAGGUUAUGUGGUGGCGGUGACGCUGCGUCCUGCGUCUUCAUUCCUUUUACGCUUUUCCCCUCUGAGCUGUAAAUUAUUCCUGGUGAGCGCCCCCUGCUGCCCCAUAGCUGAUAAUAUAUGUGAAUGUUUGUCUGUAGGGGGAGCGCCUGAUGGGAGUUGUACUCCAUGACACUCAUCUCUGCUGCUCCUCACCCACAAGUAUUAUUCUCAGCGCCUUCCCUAGGCCGUCGCGCCGCGUGUUUGGUGGUGACGUAUCCGCCCGUUUAUUCUUCAUCUCAGAUUUUGUUACAUUUUAUUUUCUCACGUCCUGGGGCCGAACCUGGAACAAAAAUAAUCUGCGUCCUGGGGCGACGUCCCCCCAAACCCUGCGCUGUAGGGAAGAACGCGACGCCCCAACAGGUUCCAUCGUCACCCGGCGUCGCCAUACAAGGCGCAGACUGUGUAGAUGGCGGAAACAAAAUCUCAAUGUCCCUGUAGUUUAUAUGACUUAUUAUGAUUAAAGAAACGUAGAAGCGUCACCUCCAGUUAUUGGUCCUGACAGAAAUAAAGUCCUUGUCUGACUCCA